GAUGAACGCUGGCGGCGUGCCUAAUACAUGCAAGUCGAACGAAACUUCUUUAUCACCGAGUGCUUGCACUCACCGAUAAAGAGUUGAGUGGCGAACGGGUGAGUAACACGUGGGCAACCUGCCCAAAAGAGGGGGAUAACACUUGGAAACAGGUGCUAAUACCGCAUAACCAUAGUUACCGCAUGGUAACUAUGUAAAAGGUGGCUAUACUACCGCUUUUGGAUGGGCCCGCGGCGCAUUAGCUAGUUGGUGGGGUAAAGGCUUGCCAAGGCAAUGAUGCGUAGCCGAAUUGAGAGGUUGAUCGGCCACAUUGGGACUGAGACACGGCCCAAACUCCUACGGGAGGCAGCAGUAGGGAAUCUUCCACAAUGGGCGAAAGCCUGAUGGAGCAACGCCGCGUGGGUGAAGAAGGUCUUCGGAUCGUAAAACCCUGUUGUUAGAGAAGAAAGUGCGUGAGAGUAACUGUUCACGUUUCGACGGUAUCUAACCAGAAAGCCACGGCUAACUACGUG
rnacentral:rRNA from 1 species